AGUAUAAAAAUUAUAAGGUUUAGAGAUUAGGGACAAUGAAAAACGGGAGAUGGUGACACAGGAACCCGGUGAAAGAACAAAAGGAAAAAAAAAAAAAAAGAUUGUAUGAAUUUGAUAAACUGGAAUGCGAGAUGAUGAUAUGAUGUUGCGUGCCUGUUUUGUGCGUGUAUCUGUGUAUAUGAGAGAGAGAGAGAGAGUAAACGAUACGUGUGCCUGUGAUAAUGAGAAAGAGAAAAGAAUAAAAGGAAGAGGUAAAGAAAAAUUGGAAUGUGUGAAUGGAAGAAAGAAAGAAAAUGAAAGAAAGAGAGAGAGAGAGAGAGAGAGAGAGAGAGAGAGAGAGAAAGAGAGAGAGAGAAGGUGGGUAGCUCCAUUUCGUCAAGAUAUCGUGCUAUUUUUCAAAAUUUUACACGUUGCGCGUGAUUUUUGUGAACGGGACCCUCGAACCUCCCCGACAAUCGAAAAAGAAUCUCGGGAUUGUACUAUAUAGUCGAUAAUGAAGAAAAAAAUAAACAAAUCAAAGUAAAAAAUAAUGUUUGUCGGAUUGUUAAGAGUUUUGAUCUGCGAACUUUAGCCGAGAAAUAUAAAGGACAAAGAGAUAAAUUGCAAUGGGCGCGUAAGGUUAAAGGUUAAGCGAUAAGCAAAGAAUAACGAGCUCUUGCACUAUUCUUUUUUCUUUCUCCUUUUUUUUCUCUUUUUCUUUUCUUCUUUUUUUUUUCUUAACUCAUUUUCUCUUUUUUUUUCUUUUUUUUUUUUUCUUUUUUUUUUUCAUUUAAACUCAUUAUACAACACGUGCAAGAAAAUGAAAAGUUGAUGGGAACUGGUUGGUUAGGGGGAAAAGGAAAAAAGAUCACUUGGCGCUCUUUCACGCAUCCUCUCUCCGAUUUUCCUCGUAUCGUUAUUAUAUACAUACAUACUUAACGCGAUAAAAAGAGAAAAAAAGAAAAAGGAAAAAAAAAAGAAAAAAAAAAAAGAAUAUAUAAAAUGUAUUUAUAUACAUAUAUAUAUAUACUCGAGGCCUUCGCCUAACGUUUUACUCGCGAUCACGUUCAUCGGUAAUAGAUCUUUCGUAAUGGAGACAUCGACGGCCCAUUCGCCUUUAAAGAUUUUUACGUGGGCGUCAGAGCGAGACCAAAAAAAAAGAAAAAAAAAAAAAGAAAAAGAAAAAAGAAAAAGAAAAAAAAAAAAAGAAAAACUCUCAAAAGUGACCUUCGGUAAGAUUUUUAAUGGUGUAUUUUUUUCGGCCUUCACGGUGAUAGAAAAGAAGAAAAAAAAAAAAAAAGAAAAUAAAAAACAAAAGAAAUGAAAAAAAGAGUAUUAUGAGGGUGGGUGAGAGGUUAGUAAGGAGUGAGGGAUGGUUGGAGGGAGGGUUGUUACACGUGAGAAAGAGGGAUCAUACGGGAAUUUAUUGAAAAUGCAAAUGUUUAUUCCCAAACGUCGAAAAACACCCUAAAUUAAUCGUUUGAUAUGAGUACCAUACUCCACGUAGUAUAAAAUACAAACCGCGAUCGCGCGCUUUUUCUUGUAGGAAAAAAAGAAAACAAAGAAAAAAAGAUAAAAAGUAAAAAAAAAAAUAAAAAAUAAAAAAGGGAAAGGAGAAAGAGAAAACGCAAAAGUGCUAAUAUCUGUCCAGAAAAAAAGAGAGAGAGAGAGAGAGAGAGAGAGAGCGCAUCAUCGGACCACGUAGAGGGCGAUUGACGAUGCGCGCGUUAAAAUCUCUAUCGACAUAUAUGCGGUACAUAAAUGUUGUACCAAAAUUGUUUUUGAUGUCGUCACUUUUCGACAAAACGUUUCUUUUCCAAAGACAUAAUUCUAUCUCCUCCCUCUAUCACCUCCUCUCUCUCUCUCUCUCUCUUCCCUCACCCCACCUGCCUGUGUGGCUCCUCACUCAAAGGGUUAAAUACGGAAGAAAAAGAAAAGAAAAGAAAAGAAAAGAAAAGAAAAUCACGUUCUCUUUGAUCUCGGCCUCCAUGCGAGCUCUGCGCUUGAUUUUUCCACAAAACGAACGGGCCACCGAUGUCUCAUGGGAGCAGGCGAAAGGGAAAUGAUCGACGUCGGAUCGCGAGUAAAGGGACUUUAUUACGACUUUAGGCUUAAUGUGUUCAAUAAGGAGAAAUAAAAAGGAGAAAAGGGAAAGAGGAGAAGGGCGUUGAGGAGAAACGAAAAUGGUGAAAUCAGUGGACGUGCAGUAGGGCGAAUAACGGGAAAAGAAGGGAAAAAAAGAACAGUUAAAUGAAACGUAGGAUGGGAGAAAUAUAUAUAUAUAUAUAUACACAUAUAUAAAUAUAUGUGUAAAUGUGUGUGUGUGUAUGUAUAUAUAUAUAUAUAUAAAAUGUUUACAGAGAGGCACGUUCGUAGAGUAGCACGCCGAGUAUAUAGUUUAGAAAAAAGAAAAAAAAAAAAAGAAAAAGAAAAAAGAAAAAAAGAAAAAAGAACAGGAGAAAUCGGUAAAAUGAGAGGAACAAAGGUCAGUGUGAGAGUGCGAAAAAAGGCGGGAAAAAGA